rnacentral:rRNA from 1 species
AUUGAACGCUGGCGGCAGGCCUAACACAUGCAAGUCGAACGGCAGCACAGAAGAGCUUGCUCUUUGGGUGGCGAGUGGCGGACGGGUGAGUAAUGUCUGGGAAACUGCCCGAUGGAGGGGGAUAACUACUGGAAACGGUAGCUAAUACCGCAUAACGACGCAAGACCAAAGUGGGGGACCUUCGGGCCUCACACCAUCGGAUGUGCCCAGAUGGGAUUAGCUAGUAGGUGGGGUAAUGGCUCAACUAGGCGACGAUCCCUAGCUGGUCUGAGAGGAUGACCAGCCACACUGGAACUGAGACACGGUCCAGACUCCUACGGGAGGCAGCAGUGGGGAAUAUUGAACAAUGGGCGCAAGCCUGAUGCAGCCAUGCCGCGUGUAUGAAGAAGGCCUUCGGGUUGUAAAGUACUUUCAGCGGGGAGGAAGGCGGUGAGGUUAAUAACCUCGCCGAUUGACGUUACCCGCAGAAGAAGCACCGGCUAACUCCGUGCCAGCAGCCGCCGUAA